UUGGCCGAACCUUUGCUUAACGAUAAAGAUAAUCAAGAUGAUGGUACUACUGAAUCAGUCAGUUUUUUAAUGGAAGGAGUUACUGAUGUUUCAAGUUUAUCAGAUGAGAGGAUCGAGUAUUAGAUACACACAUACGUGUAGUUACUAACAAGUAGCAAAUGGAUAAAGGAACAAGCACAUGUACUGAGGUAGGAUUACUGCAUCUGUAUGUUAUGUAUGCAUUGUAAACCUCUACAAGCUGUUAAAUGUUUCUCAUUCGGUAUCAGUUGUGGCCUCUUUAAUAUCAAUAUCUUGAGGUUUGAAGCCAUGGUACAUGCACUUGUAUAUGAAUUUUUCUGGGAAUUGUUCUCCUGACUCUAAAACUAAACUUGAUUUAUAGACAAUGCAGUUGUCAAUACUUUGAGCAUUGGAUAUACCACCCAUAUGUAACUGGCUUGUGCUUUGACUGGCAGUAGUUAGAUACUCAGCAUUCAUUGUGACUACAUUGUUACUGAGUAUGUUCAUUUUUCUCAUGUAAUAAGGACUAACUGAAUGAGGACUGCUAUAGCAUCUUUGUGUCUGGUAACUGUCCCAUGAUGGAAUUGCUGGUUUGAUCUUGAAUGUUUUGUUUUCUAAGUAAUGUAUUUUAGCU